rnacentral:antisense_RNA from 1 species
UGCUUUGUGACUUUGAUUCUAAACGACUCUUUUUUGAAGGUGGCUGAGAAUCUGAAGAUUUGGUCUUUUGAGAGGUUGAUGAUUGCUUGUUCUUAUUCUUUGUAGAUGGUGCCUUAACUGGUUCUUCUUCUUCUUCUUCCUCCUCUUCAUCAUCAUCCAAAUCAUCUAAGUCAUCUUCAUCAUCCUCAUCACUAUCUUCAUCGCCAUCUUCAUCAUCAUCUUCAUCAUUAUCCUGAAUAAGUUCGUCCA